UACGGGGGGAGCAAGCGUUGUUCGGAUUUACUGGGCGUAAAGGGCGCGUAGGCGGCGCAACAAGUCACUUGUGAAAUCUCCGGGCUUAACCCGGAGCGGUCAAGUGAUACUGUCGUGCUAGAGUGCGGAAGGGGCUACUGGAAUUCUCGGUGUAGCGGUGAAAUGCGUAGAUAUUGAGAGGAACACCUGCGGCGAAGGCGGGUAGCUGGGCCGACACUGACGCUGAUGCGCGAAAGCUAGGGGAGCAAACGGG
rnacentral:rRNA from 1 species